UCCAUGAUCCUAGGAGCAAAAAAGAAAGUGUCAAGACUUAGAAAAGCUUAAGUCAGAGUCAGAGCACAGAAAGUGUGAUGAAAAGAACGGCGUGAAUGGCCAGGCCCGAACCUUUUAAAGCUUGUGAUGUUUCUGAUGGUGGGCACACAGGCUACAAACCUGUCAAAUGAGGAGCAAAUGCUGGUUCAGCCGACAGCCCCGGAAGCACACACACAGGAGGAUCAGCUACUGGCUGUUCUCUUAGAGACCCACUCUUAUCACCCAGGGCCCGUGUUAGAAGACCAAAGUGGGGUGAAACAGUAUCUACCCCAGAGAAGUCAGAGUCCUGCAUUCCCUCAGGACAACAAAGAAACUCCAGGAAAUUCCAGAGUCUUUUAGAAACCUAAAAUAAAUAAAUGAAAAGGGCAAAUCAAUAUUAGUGGGGACAAUUUCCAGUUAGAGAUGGUAGCAGACUGCACACACAACAUUUACCCCAGACCCUGCUCCAACUCGCUCCUGAAACCCCAUUAACAAGACAGUAAAAUUUAUUGGGGGGGUUUUGUCGUUGUUUUAAAGGUAAAAACUCACAAGGAAAAAAAAGAAUGGGAAAGAAAUAUCCACAGCAUUUUGGAAGCUGGUGAGCAGGUGAACAAAUGAGCACAGCCAGAAAGCGGAAUCCUAAACUGGCAGUGAAUAAAACGCUGACUUAUAUACAACACCCCCUCAAAGGCUCAGGAACUGCUUGCCAAGGUGCCAGGGGAAGUGGAGUGAAGAUGAUGCCAAGACAAGAGGACUGGCUGGAAGUCUAGUCAGUAAAAAAAAUAAUCUAAUGGAAGUUCCACACCGGUGGCACAGAAAAGAUUAAAUUUAGAGAGAAAGAGUAGAUAGUGGUUACCUGGGGCUGAGGGUGAGCCCAGGGAGGGACUGCAAAUGGGAAGAGGGACUUUAGGGGGCAUGAUGGCAAUGUUCUAAAAUUAGAUUAUGAUGAUUAUACAUCAAAUUUUCUGAAAAUAUUUGAAUUGUACACUUAAAACAAGGUCCUUUUGUAGUAUGUACAUUAUACCUCAACAAAACUCAAUAAUUUAAACUUCAAAAAAAAUAAUAGAGAAAGAGAAACAAGAUGAACAAAUUUCAGAACCACCUCCUCAGAGUCCAUUCUGAACGGCAGGACUUCUAUGAAGCCAACGAGACUGACUGCUGGGGAUAGCGCACAUCUCUCUGAUGACGAACCCAGCCACCACUCUGUAAGGAAGCCCAGCUGAAAUCUAGUUGACAGUCAACAGCUGCCUCCAUGACUUCGAGGUGACUUCAGCCCAGGUCUUGAUCUGACUACAACCACAUCACAGACCCCAAGAGAGAAUCAUCUGAGCCCAGUCAACCUUUGGCACUGUUAGAGAUAAUAAUAAAGUGUUUUGUUUUGUUUUGUUUUGUUUUGUUUUGUUUUAAGCCAUUAAGCUUUCAAGUGUUUUGUUACACAGUAAUAACUAGAAUUUGAAACUUGUUAACAUCUCCCCACAAAUCAAUAUUCAAAUACUGUCUCCAAAGGACAUUUUUUGGGGGGUCUGUCUACUAAUGUCUUCGGGGGAAAUCACUGUUCACCCAUUCUUAGUCCAUCCACAUGGUACAGACCAGACUGCCCCCACACCUCUGAGUUCCAGAUGAUCUUUAGCUCCUCCAGAUGACCCAGGGAGGCCUGGCUACUUUGGUAACCACGCCCCUUCAUUCAAUCAUUGUUUCAGAGAUGGGUAUGUGACCCAAGCCAUGCCAGUUAGAGUCUGCCCUAGAGGUUUUUGCUAGUACUAUCAAGACAGAGAUACCCUCUUCACCCAGACUGCGAGCUGUGAGGGAGAUGCAAGUCUAGUACUGAUGGUGGCAAUUUUUGCCUACCUGAGAAUGAAGCUGGCAUAUAAGCAAGCCAUCUAAAAACGGGGUUCUGAUCUCAUCAAGACCCUGGGAUCCAGCCAUGACGUAGUUAGCAUGACCCUAGGACUUUCUAUUCCAUGAGCCAAAGAAUCGCUCUUACCCUAACCCGAUUUAUGCUGGAUAAACACAGUGUGAAGUUGAACUCAAAAUCUUAAAAAAAAAAACAAAAAC